UCAGUGUGUAAAUGGAACCUCCAAAUAAGAUUAAAUUGAAGAGAAAGCAUUAAAGGGCAGUAUUCCAGUGGAAUCCAUGAACAGUUUAUGGACGAAGGGGCCCUGAGCCAAGGAAAGCAGGCCACCUCUAGAAGCUGGAAAAGGCAAGGAAAUGAAAUCCCCCAAGAGCCUCCAGAAGGAACACAACCAUGCCAACCUGUUUUAGACUUCUGAUCUCCUGAACUGUAAAAUAAUAAAUAUGUGUUGUUUUAAGGCAAUAAAUUUGUGAUAAUCUGUUAUAGUAGCAAUAGGAGAAGAAUACAGCAAAUCAACACUGAUUUUAUUUUCUUAACAUGGUGCAACUAAUACCAACUUAAAAGCAAUUUAAACUUUACACACUAG
rnacentral:lncRNA from 1 species